AAUAUUGGACAAUGGGCGAAAGCCUGAUCCAGCUAUGCCGCGUGUGUGAAGAAGGCCUUCGGACUGUAAAGCACUUCCAGUCGGCAGGAAAGGCACUAAGCCAAUACCUUGCUGUUUUGACGUUACCGACAGAAUACGCACUGGCUAACUUCGUGCCAGCAGCCGCGGUAAUACGAAGGGUGCAAGCGUUAAUCGGAAUUACUGGGCGUAAAGCGCGCGUAGGUGGUUUGUUAAGUUGGAAGUGAAAGCCCCGGGCUCAACCUGGGAGCUGCUUUCAAAACUGGCAAGCUAGAGUAUGGCAGAGGGUGGUGGUAUUUCCUGUGUAGCGGUGAAAUGCGUAGAUAUAGGAAGGAACACCAGUGGCGAAGGCGACCACCUGGGCUAAUACUGACACUGAGGUGCGAAAGCGUGGGGAGCAAAC
rnacentral:rRNA from 1 species